CGAUAGCAAUCGGAUGGAGUGAACAUCCUGAUUUUUCAUCGGGAUAAAACGGAAAGCGGGAAGAAAC
rnacentral:misc_RNA from 1 species